rnacentral:rRNA from 1 species
AUGGUAGGAUAGAGGCCUACCAUGGUUUUAACGGGUAACGGGGAAUUAGGGUUCGAUUCCGGAGAGGGAGCCUGAGAAACGGCUACCACAUCCAAGGAAGGCAGCAGGCGCGCAAAUUACCCAAUCCCGACACGGGGAGGUAGUGACAAUAAAUAACAAUAUGGGGCUCUUACGAGUCUCGUAAUUGGAAUGAGUACAAUUUAAAUCUCUUAACGAGGAACAAUUGGAGGGCAAGUCUGGUGCCAGCAGCCGCGGUAAUUCCAGCUCCAAUAGCAUAUAUUAAAGUUGUUGCAGUUAAAAAGCUCGUAGUUGAAUUUCGGAAUCUGUCCGUCGGUCGGGCUUCACUGUCCGUACUGGUGUGAUGGGUUUCUACCUUCUGAAUAACCGGCAUGUCAUUAAUUUGGUGCGCCGGGGAAGCAGAACUAUUACCUUGAAAAAAUUAGAGUGCUUAAAGCAGGCUAUCGCCUGAAUAGAUUAGCAUGGAAUAAUAAAAUAGGACGGCAUGGUUCUAUUUUGUUGGUUUCUAGGAUCACCGUAAUGAUUAAUAGGGAUAGUUGGGGGCAUUAGUAUUCAAUUGUCAGAGGUGAAAUUCUUGGAUUUAUUGAAGACUAACUUCUGCGAAAGCAUUUGCCAAGGAUGUUUUCAUUAAUCAAGAACGAAAGUUAGGGGAUCGAAGACGAUCAGAUACCGUCGUAGUCUUAACCAUAAACUAUGCCGACUAGGGAUCGGACGAUGUUAAUUUUUUAAUGACUCGUUCGGCGCCUUACGGGAAACCAAAGUGUUUGGG